GGGCAGUGCGGGUCUAUAAUGCAGUCGUACGCUUCUUUUUCCACCGGAGCUUGCUCCACCGGAAAAAGAAGAGUGGCGAACGGGUGAGUAACACGUGGGUAACCUGCCCAUCAGAAGGGGAUAACACUUGGAAACAGGUGCUAAUACCGUAUAACAAUCGAAACCGCAUGGUUUUGAUUUGAAAGGCGCUUUCGGGUGUCGCUGAUGGAUGGACCCGCGGUGCAUUAGCUAGUUGGUGAGGUAACGGCUCACCAAGGCCACGAUGCAUAGCCGACCUGAGAGGGUGAUCGGCCACAUUGGGACUGAGACACGGCCCAAACUCCUACGGGAGGCAGCAGUAGGGAAUCUUCGGCAAUGGACGAAAGUCUGACCGAGCAACGCCGCGUGAGUGAAGAAGGUUUUCGGAUCGUAAAACUCUGUUGUUAGAGAAGAACAAGGAUGAGAGUAACUGUUCAUCCCUUGACGGUAUCUAACCAGAAAGCCACGGCUAACUACGUGCCAGCAGCCGCGGUAAUACGUAGGUGGCAAGCGUUGUCCGGAUUUAUUGGGCGUAAAGCGAGCGCACGCGGUUUCUUAAGUCUGAUGUGAAAGCCCCCGGCUCAACCGGGGAGGGUCAUUGGAAACUGGGAGACUUGAGUGCAGAAGAGGAAGUGGAAUUCAUGUGUAGCGGUGAAUGCGUAGAUUAUGGAGGAACCCAGUGGCGAAGGCGGCUCUCUAGUCUGUACUGACGCUGAGGCUCGAAGCGUGGGGAGCAACAGGAUAGAACGGGGGUUCCAAAAAAAAGGGGGGGGGGG
rnacentral:rRNA from 1 species